rnacentral:rRNA from 1 species
UACGUAGGGACCAAGCGUUGUUCGGAUUUACUGGGCGUAAAGGGCGCGUAGGCGGCAAUUCAAGUCAUCUGUGAAAUCUCCGGGCUUAACUCGGAACGGUCAGAUGAUACUGCUUUGCUAGAGUGCAGAAGGGGCAAUCGGAAUUCUCGGUGUAGCGGUGAAAUGCGUAGAUAUCUGGAGGAACACCGGUGGCGAAGGCGGCAUCCUGGACCAAUACUGACACUGAGGAGCGAAAGCCAGGGGAGCGAACGGG